AUGCGUACCGGACGCGCACGCAGCAGCCAACCACCGUCCGUCUCCGUUGUCGUCGUUGGGAUCGUACCGGAAGAGGAAGACGAGUCGCCCCGACUCUACUACGUGACGUCGCCCUCAGAAGCUCUGCAUGCCUCGGUGGGGAGUGGAAAAGAGCGGGCACGGCACGAUCACGCGCAGGCCGUAGGACGGGAGAAAUUCCACCGCAUGAUGGGUGGAAGGAAUCGGGCGCGCGCCCAACUAGUCCGCCUGACUUUUAGGCGCCGCGUUUUGUCCCCGUCGUCCGGCCCCAGCCGAGCCGACGCGAGCGCCAUGGCCUCGUCCUCCCUCUUCGCCUCCCCGGCCCGCCGCGCCCUCCUCUUGUCGUCGUUUCUCCUCUGUUUCCUGCCGCGCCAUGUUGCUGCCGGCGCCGCGGGGGCCGGGGGCUACGUCACCGUCUCCACCGCCAGCUUCGCCGCCGCGUCGAGCGCGACCUGCGACGAACCCGGCCCAGUGAUCGCGCCGCGGCAGAGGAACGGCACGCUGGCGGUGCUGCGGCUGGCGCACCGGCACGGGCCGUGCGGCCCGUCGACGGCGUCGGCCGUGGUGGAACCGUCGUUCGCCGAGGUGCAACGCGCGGACCAGCGGCGGGUGGAGUACAUACAGGGGCGGGUGUCGGGGGGCGGCGGCGCGCGGGGGGCGAGUAAGGGGGGCCUGCAGCAGCGGCAGCAGCAGCUCGCGGCCGGCUCCAGGUCGGCGACGUUGCCGACCACCAUGGGCGUCGGCACGUUCCAGUACGUGGUGACGGUGAGCCUGGGCACGCCGGGCGUGUCGCAGACGAUGGAGGUGGACACGGGCAGCGACGUGUCGUGGGUGCAGUGCAAGCCCUGCGCCGCGCCGGCGUGCUACAGCCAGAGGGACCAGCUCUUCGACCCGGCCAAGUCGUCCACCUACUCCGCCGUGCCGUGCGGCGCGGACGCGUGCUCGGACCUCGGGAUCUACAUGGCCGGUUGCUCCGGGUCGCAGUGCGGGUACGUGGUCAGCUACGGCGACGGGUCCAACACCACCGGCGUGUACGGCUCCGACACGCUGGCGCUGGCGCCGGGCAACACGGUGGGCACGUUCCUCUUCGGCUGCGGCCACGCGCAGGCGGGGCUCUUCGCCGGCAUCGACGGGCUCCUCGCGCUCGGCCGGCAGGCCAUGUCGCUCAAGUCGCAGGCCGCGGGCGCGUACGGCGGGGUCUUCUCCUACUGCCUCCCUUCGAAGCCGAGCUCCGCGGGGUACCUGACGCUGGGCGGGCCGAGCAGCGCGUCGGGGUUCGCGACGACGGGGCUGCUGACGGCGUGGUCCGCGCCGACGUUCUACAUGGUGAUGCUCACGGGCAUCAGCGUGGGCGGGCAGCCGGUGGCCGUCCCGGCGUCGGCGUUCGCGGGGGGCAUGGUGGUGGACACGGGCACGGUGAUCACGCGGCUGCCGCCCGCGGCGUACGCGGCGCUGCGGUCGGCGUUCCGCGGCGCCAUCGCGCCCUACGGGUACCCGUCGGCGCCGGCCAACGGGAUCCUGGACACGUGCUACGACUUCAGCCGGUACGGCGUGGUGACGCUGCCGACGGUGGCGCUGACCUUCAGCGGCGGCGCGACGCUGGCCCUGGAGGCCCCCGGGAUCCUGUCGAGCGGGUGCCUCGCGUUCGCGCCCAACGGCGGCGACGGCGACGCCGCCAUCCUCGGCAACGUGCAGCAGCGGUCCUUCGCGGUGCGCUUCGACGGCGGCACCGUCGGGUUCAUGCCCGGCGCGUGCUGA
rnacentral:rRNA from 1 species